rnacentral:rRNA from 1 species
UACGGAGGGUGCAAGCGUUAAUCGGAAUUACUGGGCGUAAAGGGUGCGUAGGCGGACCUUUAAGUCAGAUGUGAAAUCCCCGGGCUCAACCUGGGAAUUGCCUCUGAUACUGGGUAACUAGAGUUUGGAAGAGGGGAGUAGAAUUUCAGGUGUAGCGGUGAAAUGCAUAGAGAUCUGAAGGAAUACCGGUGGCGAAGGCGGCUCCCUGGUCCAAAACUGACGCUGAGGUGCGAAAGCGUGGGUAGCAAAUGGG